rnacentral:rRNA from 1 species
GAUGAACGCUGGCGGCGUGCCUAAUACAUGCAAGUCGAGCGAACAGACGAGGAGCUUGCUCCUCUGACGUUAGCGGCGGACGGGUGAGUAACACGUGGAUAACCUACCUAUAAGACUGGGAUAACUUCGGGAAACCGGAGCUAAUACCGGAUAAUAUAUUGAACCGCAUGGUUCAAUAGUGAAAGACGGUUUUGCUGUCACUUAUAGAUGGAUCCGCGCCGCAUUAGCUAGUUGGUAAGGUAACGGCUUACCAAGGCAACGAUGCGUAGCCGACCUGAGAGGGUGAUCGGCCACACUGGAACUGAGACACGGUCCAGACUCCUACGGGAGGCAGCAGUAGGGAAUCUUCCGCAAUGGGCGAAAGCUUGACGGAGCAACGCCGCGGGAGUGAUGAAGGUCUUCGGAUCGUAAAACUCUGUUAUUAGGGAAGAACAAAUGUGUAAGUAACUAUGCACGUCUUGACGGUACCUAAGCAGAAAGCCACGGCUAACUACGU